UACGUAGGUGGCAAGCGUUGUCCGGAAUCAUUGGGCGUAAAGCGCGUGUAGGCGGCCCGGUAAGUCCGCUGUGAAAGUCGGGGGGCUCAACCCUCGGAUGCCGGUGGAUACUGUCGGGCUCGAGUACGGAAGAGGCGAGUGGAAUUCCUGGUGUAGCGGUGAAAUGCGCAGAUAUCAGGAGGAACACCAAUUGCGAAGGCAGCUCGCUGGGACGUUACUGACGCUGAGACGCGAAAGCGUGGGGAGCAAACAGG
rnacentral:rRNA from 1 species